rnacentral:ncRNA from 1 species
CAAAGGCUUGGUCCUGACUUUACUAUCAACUUUAGCUAAACUUACACAUGCAAGUAUCCGCACCCCUGUGAGAAUGCCCUACAGUUCCCUGCCCGGGUACAAGGAGCUGGUAUCAGGCACAUUAAAUUUAGCCCACGACACCUUGCUUAGCCACACCCCCAAGGGAACUCAGCAGUGAUAAACAUUAAGCCAUAAGUGAAAACUUGACUUAGUCAAAGCUAAGAGGGCCGGUAAUACUCGUGCCAGCCACGGCGGUUAUACGAGAGGCCGAAGUUGAUAGCCCCCGGCGUAUAGAGUGGUUAAGAUAACCUAAAUACUAAAGCCGAAUACCCUCAAAGCUGUUAUACGCACCCGAGAGUAAGAAGUACAAUCACGAAAGUGGCUUUACAACACCUGAACCCACGAAAGCUACGGUACAAACUGGGAUUAGAUACCCCACUAUGCCUAGCCCUAAACAUCGAUAGCAACUUACACCUGCUAUCCGCCCGGGAACUACGAGCAUCAGCUUAAAACCCAAAGGACUUGGCGGUGCUUUAGAUCCACCUAGAGGAGCCUGUCCUAGAACCGAUAAUCCCCGUUAAACCUCACCCUUCCUAGUCAUUUCCGCCUAUAUACCGCCGUCGUAAGCUCACCCUAUGAAGGACCAAUAGUGAGCACAAUCGGCACAGCCCAGAACGUCAGGUCGAGGUGUAGCGCACGGAAGGGGAAGAUGAUGGGCUACACUCCCUAAAGGAGGGAAUACGAAUGGUGAGCUGAAACGCUUGCACAGAAGGAGGAUUUAGAAGUAAGCAAGGAGCAGAGUGCCCUGCUGAACACGGCUCUGAAGCGCGCACACACCGCCCGUCACCCUCCCCAAGACUGACGUUUAAUUUUUUCUAAACCAAUAAUAUAGUAAAGGUGAGGCAAGUCGUAACAUGGUAAGUGCACCGGAAGGUGUACUUAGAAUAAC